GACGAACCGUGCGAACGUUAUUCGGAAUCACUGGGCUUAAAGCGCGUGUAGGCGGGACGGCACGUCUGUCGCUGAAAUCCCCCGGCUCAACCGGGGAACGGGCGCGGAUACGACCGUCCUGGAGGGGCGUAGGGGGACCUGGAACUUCCGGUGGAGCGGUGAAAUGCGUUGAGAUCGGAAGGAACGCCCGUGGCGAAAGCGAGGUCCUGGACGCUUACUGACGCUGAGACGCGAAAGCCGGGGGAGCGAACGGG
rnacentral:rRNA from 1 species